ensembl:lncRNA
GUUUUAACAGUGUCUCUGUAGCCGAGGGUUUUAACAGUGUCUCUGUAUCCGAGGGUUUUAACAGUGUCUCUGUAUCCGAGGGUUUUAACAGUGUCUCUGUAUCCGAGGGUUUUAACAGUGUCUCUGUAGGCGAGGGUUUUAACAGUGUCUCUGUAGCCGAGGGUUUUAACAGUGUCUCUGUAUCCGAGGGUUUUAACAGUGUCUCUGUAGCCGAGGGUUUUAACAGUGUCUCUGUAGCCGAGGGUUUUAACAGUGUCUCUGUAUCCGAGGGUUUUAACAGUGUCUCUGUAUCCGAGGGUUUUAACAGUGUCUCUGUAGCCGAGGGUUUUAACAGUGUCUCUGUAGCCGAGGGUUUUAACAGUGUCUCUGUAUCCGAGGGUUUUAACAGUGUCUCUGUAUCAGAGGGUUUUAACAGUGUCUCUGUAUCCGAGGGGUUUAACAGUGUCUCUGUAUCCGAGGGUUAUAACAGUGUCUCUGUAGCCGAGGGUUUUAACAGUGUCUCUGUAGCCGAGGGUUUUAACAGUGUCUCUGUAUCCGAGGGUUUUUAACAGUGUCUCUGUAUCCGAGGGUCAGCUGUAGGCCUCUGCUAAUAUGCUAGCUCACAUCAUGUGUUCUGGUGGUCAGUUGUAGGCCUCUGCUAACAUGCUAGCUCGCAUCAUGUGUUCUGGUUAGUCAGCUACAACUGACUAACCAGAACAGCCUAGCUCACAUCAUGUUUUGGUAGGUCAGCUCCAGGCCCACCUUACCCACAUUUACUCAAAAAUAGCUUGAAAUAUGUUGCUAGUUGAGAGAUGUUGAAAAAUGUGCAUGCGUGGAGAUGAUUCAUGACCGUAAAAGUGCUUAUGUCACGGCCACAACACAGCUUUUUACCAUUAUUACCAUGCUCUAAGUCACUGUUCCCUCAUUCCGUGCCUUUUACUGAACUCUGCUCCAUGAGGCCGUUCUCCAAACACCAACAGAGGAGCUGUUCCCGAGUUCCCGGGGGCUGUUACGAGAAUAUUUGACUUUGUGUUUACAUUCGAUGUGGUCAAGCUGUCUUCUAGAUCGUGUUCCCCAAGUCCAAGAAGGCUGAAUGCACUCCAAGCCAAUAAAAAC